UACGAAGGGGGCUAGCGUUGUUCGGAAUCACUGGGCGUAAAGGGCGCGUAGGCGGCUUUAUAAGUCGGGGGGUGAAAGCCUGUGGCUCAACCACAGAAUUGCCUUCGAUACUGUAGAGCUUGGGACCGGAAGAGGUAAGUGGAACUGCGAGUGUAGAGGUGAAAUUCGUAUGAUAUUCGCAAGAACACCAGUGGCGAAGGCGGCUUACUGGUCCGGUUCUGACGCUGAGGCGCGAAAG
rnacentral:rRNA from 1 species